rnacentral:lncRNA from 1 species
UGGAUCAAGUCUAAUUGAAUUAGAUUUAAUUAAGUUUGACCCGAUUAGGUUAUAAGAUAACCUAAUUGCUAAGGGAGUUUGCUUCCUGAUUUGCUCAGGACUUAACUUGAUUAAUUUUUAAUUGAAUUAAGAUUUAUUUAAGUUUAUUUAGUACCUAAUUAGAUUAGGUUCAAUUAUCUAAUUUUGGUCUAACUGAAUUAGAUUUAGAUGAGAAUCAAAUUGGACCAAAUAAGAGUCCAAUAUGAUUGGACUACCUACCCUUGCACCAACUCCAUUCUCCAUGCAGAUUUUGUUCACGUUGAAUCAAAUUUUACGUGAAGAUUUCUCGUGCCCACAAGUGUUUCUCACCCCCUUCUCAAUGCCCAAGUGGAUAAGGAAUGGAUUAGUUUUGGUUUUGAAUUUAAAUUCAAGUUGAAUUUUGAAUUCAACUUUCAAAUUAGUUUGAUUUCAAAUUUAAUCUUAUCCUUAUCCAACCACUUUGGAUGCCACUUCUUAAUGUGAUUAGGAGUAGGCGUACAUGAUAUCUGAGAUGCUUUUUGGGAAAACUUCUAAGAUUUCAUCGAGAGAAAAAUUGAGAGAAAGAAAGUGGGUGUGAGGUGUUCCGACGGGGUUCCCUAGGGUUUCGACUAGGGUAUUUGGGAAGAGAAAAAUAGGAGAGAAAAGAGUUUCCUCUAUUCAUUUUCCUCCACUUCACAUCCCCCUAAGCUUUCUUCUCAUCUGGGAGAGUCUGUGAGAUCUGAAAAAAGUGUGGGAUCAGCCAGUAAAAAGGGUCUCUGCGUGAGCUAGCACUCACGGGGAGAUCGAUCAGCGCCAAAGCUUCGUGUGGACAUCCCAUAGAGGCCGGACAUCCUAUACGACUAUGAGCAACCGGCAAAAUAUCAUAUCCAUAUUUUCAAUUACGGUGAUCAGCUAUCCAUGCUCAGAUAUCGAGUUUUAAACUCAGAUUAGAUGUAGAUUUGAUCUACUGUCGCAUCGAUAUGAUCAAUGCUUGUUGAUUUUUAAUUUCAGAUUCUAUAGAUGCCAUAUAUCAUGUUAUAGAUCUUAGUGUAAGUGUUUUAGAUAUGAUCUAUUGUAUGUUAAUUAGAUUAAAUAGUUUAAUUUGAUUUGAUUCCACUAUGAAAAUUUAAAAAAUAUAUGCUUGAAAUGCCUACAGUUUCCUUCACCUCUGCCAACAAUUAGCCGUUACUAAAUCUGUAACACUUAUAAAUUAGCAGUUUUCAAAUUUAAACCAUAAAACCAAUUGAUAAUUUGAAUAAAAUCUAAGCCAUUGAUCAGAUUAAGCACCGUUUGUGUGUGACCCCUCAGAUUCUAUUCUGUCUGACAGUGAGACAUACUGUGAUCUCCAUUACAGUAUUAUCAAAACUCCUUUCCAUAAGCUGGAGCAAUCCCAACUCAACCCAAUAAAGAUUGUUGAUCCGAAAAUAAUCCUAGUGAGUUCUCACAAUCUACCAGUGAUGCCUAGCAGCAUGUAGUGGCAACCCAGCAGAACAGAAAAAUAUGAAUCUCUAGGUAUAGUUACCAUGUGAUUCGAUCUUUCUAUCGUGAGUCCUGACUUGAUGGAGGUCAUGGAGAACUUGUUAAACCCCAUCAUCAGUCAUAAAUCAGAUUGGCUCGACUUAAGUUCAUUAUAAAUCCUAUGAAAAUCUUUUUGCAGUAUUCAUACUUACUCUGGCCAAAGACUUUCUGAACUUAGUCUCGUGAAUCACAUAAGACUACUCCUUUCCUACCAAAAGUGAUAUAUUCUAUCUAGCUGCAUCCUACUCCAAAUAGCGAAUCUGAACCCGUUGUAGCCAACAUACACAGUAAGGACCCGAAUAGCUAAAGAUCAAGGGAACAUACAGCCAAACUACAGUAGUCUCGCUGCGAAUAGUCCAGACACCACAGAUCAAAAGAUCACUCACACCACUGC